rnacentral:rRNA from 1 species
GAUGAACGCUGGCGGCGUGCCUAAUACAUGCAAGUCGAACGGACAGACGAGGAGCUUGCGCCUCUCACGUUAGCGGCGGACGGGUGUGUAACACGUGGAUAACCUACCUAUAUGACUGGGAUCACUUCGAGAAACCGGAGCUAAUACCGGAUAAUAUAUUGAACCGCAUGGUUCAAUAGUGAAAGACGGUGUUGCUGUCACUUAUAGCUGCAUCCGGGCCGCAUUAGCUAGUUGGUAAGGUAACGGCUUACCAAGGCAACUAUGCGUAGCCGACCUGAUAGGGUGAUCGCCCACACGGGAACUGAGACACCGUCCUGACUCCUACGGGAGGCAGCAGUAGGGAAUCGUACGCAAUGGGCGAAAGCCUGACGGAGCAACGGGGCGUGAGUGAUGAAGGUCUUCGGAUCGUAAAACUCUGUUAUGAGGGAAGAACAAAUGUGUAAGUAACUAUGCACGUCUUGACGGUACCUAAUCAGAAAGCCACGGCUAACUACGUG